AAGGGUAUAGCUCAGUGGUAGAGUGCAUGCUUAGCAUGCACAAGGUCCUGGGUUCAAUCCCCACUACCUCCA
rnacentral:tRNA from 1 species